GAUGAACGCUGGCGGCGUGCUUAACACAUGCAAGUCGAACGGAAAGGCUCCUGCUUGCAGGGGUACUCGAGUGGCGAACGGGUGAGUAACACGUGGGUGAUCUGCCCUGCACUUCGGGAUAAGCCUGGGAAACUGGGUCUAAUACCGGAUAGGACCACAUUUUGGAUGGCGUGGUGGAAAGUUUUUCGGUGUGGGAUGAGCUCGCGGCCUAUCAGCUUGUUGGUGGGGUAAUGGCCUACCAAGGCGUCGACGGGUAGCCGGCCUGAGAGGGUGUACGGCCACAUUGGGACUGAGAUACGGCCCAGACUCCUACGGGAGGCAGCAGUGGGGAAUAUUGCACAAUGGGCGCAAGCCUGAUGCAGCGACGCCGCGUGGGGGAUGACGGCCUUCGGGUUGUAAACUCCUUUCGCUAGGGACGAAGCGUUUUUGUGACGGUACCUGGAGAAGAAGCACCGGCUAACUACGUG
rnacentral:rRNA from 1 species